UGGGCUUUGCCAUUAACAUUCAUUCGGCUGGUUGAACCGGCACAAAAAAGCCAAAAUCCCCCUUAUUGAAGCUUCCAAGAGGACCAAGAUGUAAAUUUGAAUUUUCCCUUCCCUCUCUCACAUUUGGAUUCACCUCCCACAGUCCCACCCUCUCUCAUCCGAACACUAUCCCAUUACCAAAUCACCGGCGACCGACAUCAACCAACGUCCGAAGGCAAGAAAUCAACGGAUAAUCGACGCCAAUCGUUCCAUCUCUCUAUCCCUUUCACUUCUCACCUUUCAGGCUCCUGAGUUCUGAAAUCCAGUUUUAGAAGUAGAGCAAGAAUUCGAAAGAUUUUCUCUUGUCUCCAUGGAGAAGAGGCUUCGUUCGUCUCUCCAAAGUUCCGCGGAAGAAUUCCUCUUGUCUGCAACCAAAAUCGGUUUCAAGUCUGUCAAACCCUCCUUGAAGGCCCUAAUUUGGAACAUCACCUCAUCUUCAGAGCUCAGUUCCUCUCUCCCUUUCGCUCUGCAUCAGUCUGUCGUUGGAUCUAUUGAAUCCUUCAAGCAAUUGCUUCAACCGAAUGGUGGUGACUGCACUAUCUCUCCACGUUCUCCCCCAACUAAGCGACUCCGAAGAUCGUCCAGACAAAGGAAGAACACAAAGGAAUCGACUGAUGAGGACUCUAGUACUAAAAUCACUUCUGCAAAGCAACUUCUUCUCCAGAGUCUUCAAGCCUACGCUUACAUUGCUCAUCUCUGCAUAUCUCAUCCGAAGAAGCCCUUUUCUCCUUCGGAUCUCUUACCUUCUGUUCAGGCGUUACAUGAUAACUUAGUCUUAUUUGAACCGGAUCAAAUCCUACUUUGUGAGAUUGCUAACUUGUGCGAAAAAUGGUGGAAGGAGCAGUUGCCGGGCAGAGAAACACUAAUUUCCCAAUCCCUUCCGUUUCUGCUGUCGAUGUCACUGACUAUUCGGAAAAAAUCAUACUUGCAUAGGGUUUAUGCCCUCCGGGAGGCGUUCUCUUUAUUUGAUUUUGAGGAUGAGAGCAUUGAGGAUCUGAAGCUCCUGCUGGUUCGUUGUAUCAUUACACCUUUGUACUUGAAGACGGAGGAGGGAAGGCGUUUUGUGGCAUUUUUGUUUGGAUUGUCCAAUCAGCUUGUUAAAGAAGCCUUGGCUAUAAUUCGGUCUCAGAUUCCUUUCGGAAGGAAAUCCAUGUUGGAGGCAUAUGCAGAUAUUGCUUUCAGGGCCUGGAAAGCCUCAGAAGGAUCUUCACGUGAUGAAAUUGAAAGUUGUUUUCUUCAGGGUUUGAUUGAAGGUGCCAUUCAUGCAAGUUCUGGACCAUUUGCUGCCUCUAUAAGAAGGGUUUUAGGAGGGUUUAUUAAUCAGCGGACUACUGCUGGUGUCGAGAAGCUUCUUUUCUGCCUUGCUGAGCCUGUACUGUUCCGGUCUCUUCAGGUUGCAAAUUCUAAUGUUCGUCAAAAUGCAUUGCAUUUGUUCCUUGACAUGUUCCCCCUUGAAGAUCCAGAUGCUACAAAAGAGGUUAAGGAUGCUUUACUUGAUAAACAAUUCUUCUUAUUGGAACGGUUACUCAUAGAUGACUGCCCUGCUGUGAGAGUUGUUGCUGUACAAGGUUCAUGUCGUAUUCUUCAUUUGUUUUGGGAAGUUAUUCCUUCUUCAACUAUAACAAAGAUUAUGACAAAAGUUGUAGAUGAUAUGUCACAUGAUAUAUGCAGCGAGGUUAGAAUCUCUACAUUGAGUGGCAUAAUAUAUUUGAUUGGAAAUCCCCAAACUCAUGAAAUUCUUAAAGUGCUUCUUCCUAGAUUGGGACAUCUAUUCCAUGAUUCUGUUCUUUCUGUACGAGAAUCUUUUACUGAUCUCCUCCUUGCUGUAAAAAGUAUUCGGGCUUUCCCAUUUAAUAAGGUUGUGGACCUAGAUAUAAUACUCUCUGCCCUUGCCAAUGAUCAACCACCUGUUGCUCAGAAAAUCACAAGGCUCCUUAUGCCAUCAUACUUUCCUGCAAAAGUAACAUCACAAGAGGCAUGUAAUCGUUGUCUCACACUUAUAAAAAGGUAUCCUAUGGCUGGGGCAAGGCUCUGUGAAUUUGCUUUAUCAGAAGGGUCAUCUGUUAAGUCUCUCUUGGAGCUUGCCAGAGUCUUUAUCAAUUUGGCCCUGUCACCUGAUGAUCUAAAUGCUGAUCAAAUUGAGGGUUUACUUGUUGGUGCUUCCAACCUUUGCAACAUUCUUGUUACCGAGUCAUCUUGUAAAGCUGCUUUACAGGAAUUGUUUUCAGGUGGAAAGCUGAAGUCCUUGAUUACUUCUGCUGCAUCUGGGCGUGCUCGAACAUCUGUGUUCAGCAUUGCUGCUGUUUUAUCUCCAGAUGAUGUAGCUAUCCUUUCUGAAGAAUGCAUGGGCCUUAUCAUGAAUUGCAGUGGUUUAUCUCAAAAUGUGGAAAGGCAGGCAGAGAUAAGUUCUGUCCAUAAGCUGUUGCUAUCCUGUGGUAGAUUUGAUGACAUGUUUGCAUCCUUAACCAGCCUCUUGCAAAAUAUUGCCUCUGGAUUUUGUAUUAGAUUUGGAAAAGAAGUCCCCGCUAAGAGUGUACAAUCUACCAGACAGACAAAAACUAAGUUUUCUGUGAAAACCUCAGCGAAAAAUGCCAGCAGAAAAAAAUCUUCUAGUUCAGAUACUUCCAGUUUUGAGGAAGAUUGCCUUAUUGCUGCAGGAGCAGCAUGGCAGAUAAAAGACUUGCUCAUGUCUGUAUAUACACGAAAUUCCAUGCUAAAGUCCAAGACAUUGGAACUGGCAUUUUCAGCUUUGAUGAUCAUCUCUGAGGUCAUUAUUGAACAAUGCAUGCGUUAUGAUUUCCUGGAAACAUCACCAGUUCUUGCAUACACAGCUCUUGCCAUGAACAUGACUUUUCAAAAAAUUGGGUUAACUAAUAAAACCAGUCCUGAUGAAAAGAAGAACAACGGGUUGGAUACUACAUCGUUGGAGCUAACAGAGUUGGACCAGUCAGUGAAUCAUCUGCUUAAUUGUGCAGAGAAGCUAAUUGAUGCAAGGCUCAUUGGAGAAAGUAGAUCACUGCCUUUAAAUUCUAAGCAAGGAUCCAGUUUACCCAAACAAAGGAAGAUAUCAAAUAUGUUGAAAAUGGUUACCACAGUUCUCAAGUCUAUUGUUGAUGCCAUGGCCAUACAUGUUGGUUCUCACAAUCAAGAAAGGUGCUUGCAGUUCACUUCAGCAUUUGUUCAACAUGUCAUCUCAACUCUAAGGAAGCAUUCCCAUGAUAAACUACAAUUCAAAGAAGACGAGUUGAAAGAAGUGUUCUUUUGCCUCAGGAGUUCCUUCACCUAUGCAAUAAAGUUGCUAAAUAUAGUUCUCACAAAUUGCAAUGACUCUUCACCACCACCACUGGAGGUCUCUGGUCUUGCCAAUGACAUGCUUGAUUUGAUUGCCUCAACUGAAUCAUACUUGGGUUCGGGCCAUGCCACACGUCUUGUUGCUACAGUGAAGUCAUGGAUACCUGAUAUAAUCCUAGCACUAGGAUCUGACCACAUUAUGACAAAGGCUCCACAAGAAGGAGGUUGUUCCAGUGCAUCUGAUCACAUUAAGCAUCGUUUCCCAUCAUGGCUCACAAUUUUGGGUAAGGUUGAGCUCUGUGAAAUAAUUGACUUUAACCAAGAUGAGGAGACUGAAAAGGUUCAUGAACCAGAGGAUUUUGUGGUUUUCAAGAAACUAAUGGAAAAGGUAGCUCUACUUUUGAGAGAAAAUCCAAAAGUACUGGAUGCAGUCGGGGUUAUAUUCUUGACUGGUUCAGCAGUUGGGCUUGAAAGGAAGGAUUUUGGGUUGGUUCUGGGAUUGGUGCAUUUUGUUUGUGUUAAAUUGGCCAGAAUUGACCAUGGAGAGUGGGAAGAACUGGGGCUCAUGUUGGCUUGUCUGCAAGUGCUUUACCCUCAAAUAGAUGCUCACAUUAGGAAUCCAAGAAUAAACGAGGAUGAGAGGCAACAAUUAGAGAGUGCAAUGAGGUUACUUGAACCUGUUUGGAGGAAUUAUAUUUAUGAAGAUGAUGAUGGGUGCAUGGUGGAAGAUUAGAUGCUAACUUCAUGGGGCUCAGGCCUGUUUGUUGAUCAGUAAGUUCUCGUAGUAUAAAAUAUAGAAGGAAAGCCCUGAUUAUUUCUAUCUAUUUUUGAAGAGGUCCCCAUAUAUAAGAGAUUUACAAGAUAUUCACUUAUUCAGUAUACAUCCAUCUACAAACAUUUACAACUUCGUCACUCCAAUUGUUGCAGAAACGAGAAAGUUGAGCCGACUUGGAUCCACUAGAGUAAUCAACCUCAAGUUCAUUAUCACUUGGUUGGCGUUGCUUAAUAGCGUUUCUCCCACGAUGUCGGAAUUUGUUCAAAGAUCACAGGAAAAAUAGAAAGAGGGGCUCUCACAAGAAGCUGCACACACUGAUUUGUGAAACAAGCAGGUUAUACUUCUGAAAAGACAACACCAAGGAAUAUUUAUUGUACAGCCACUUCAAAAUCCCAUGGCAACCUGCAUAAAGAAGACAAUCUCUAAAGGAAAUUGACCAACUAUACUCUUACUAUUUUAGUAUUAUUUCUACUGUUUCUGACAAUUCUCACCAUUGAAAAAAACUAUAAUGUUAAAUUUGCCCUCCAUUAUUUUUCAAAAUUUCAAAAUAAAACUUAACUGUUGAAAAAUUUUCAUCGCCACCUCCAUUGCUAUAUCCAUCAUCUGCACCUUCACCCCUCCACUUCCGGCCCCUUCUCUCCAUCUUCCCCUUCGUUUUCUCGAUUUUGAGCUCCUCUGCUUCCUGUGGGUUCACAGGCUAUCAAAAACGUCCAUGUCGACGUUCUCGGGUUUCGCUAAUAUUAACAAGAUAGAGGGCUGUUAGUGAAAGAAUCCGGUUGAACGGACACAAUAACUAUUGGUAUUAUCGAUCCCUUAGAUUUUGGAUUCUCUCUCCUCUACCAAGCCCUAGACUAGAGCAUGCUUUCUGGCGACUAGUGACCCCAUUGAACACAGAAUCCACCGGCUGCAACACUCUGAUCGAAGUCCAUGUUUAAGUGUAAGGUGGUUAAAGGGGUCUGAAUAAUUAAUCACAAGCAUUACGGAACCAUGCAUAGAUCGGUCACCAGGAUUUGAAUCCAAAGAGUUUGCACAACUUUCAAAGAUAAAUCUAGUUGUUUUGGUACUCAGUUCAAAGAGCUAGAGAUUUGAAAUGUUGUCCAUUUUGAGCAUUGGCUGUUGGUCGUCGGCUUCGGAACAAUGGGUGCUCGGAUCAGUAAGAGCUCGGUUUAGUGUGUCGCCGCCAGUGGCUUUCGCAUUCAAUGGGGUUGCCGAUCGCCGAGAAGCGUGCUUUGGUCUAGGGCUUGGCGGAAGAGUGAAUGUGAGGGAGAAUCCAAAAUCUGGGAUACAUAAUACCCUGUUAGCGUUAGAGAACCCUGUCUAUAGCUCCGGGAAUCAGUUGUUUUCUGCCUCUACAAUCGUUCUCUCCAACUACACCAUCAAGAGGAGAGCUCUGCUGCUACAGCUCCCCUGUUCUCGUUGACAGAGAAGGGAGUUGCAGUGGCCUGACGAUGAACCGAGAUCUUGUAUUGAAGAGACAGAAAGCUUUCCAAUCGUUGCAUCAUGGCUGGUUUUCGUCUGACGGUUGACGUUCUCUGUUUUUGACUGAAAUUUAUGAAAACUAGGUUCCGAUCGUUGGGAUAAUCAAGAUUCAAAGUAAUUUGGUCUGGUUUUGUUUUCUUCUAUAAAAUAGUGGUGAAAUUGGGUUAACGGUCA